AAGUCCAAAUAGGUCCCUUAAAGGCAUCUCCGUUAAUCAGUUUGGUCCUAUUUAGACCUCUUUUUAGGGACCAAACUGAUUAACGGAGAUGUCUUUAAGGGACCUAUUCGGACU
rnacentral:pre_miRNA from 1 species